ACGAACGCUGGCGGCGUGCUUAACACAUGCAAGUCGAGCGGUAAGGCCCUUUCGGGGGUACACGAGCGGCGAACGGGUGAGUAACACGUGGGUGACCUGCCCUUAGCUCUGGGAUAAGCCUGGGGAAACUGGGUCUAAUACCGGAUAUGACUCCAUGACGCAUGUUGUGGGGUGGAAAGCCUUGUGCGGCUAGGGAUGGGCCCGCGGCCUAUCAGCUUGUUGGUGGGGUGAUGGCCUACCAAGGCGACGACGGGUAGACCGGCCUGAGAGGGCGACCGGCCACACUGGGACUGAGACACGGCCCAGACUCCUACGGGAGGCAGCAGUGGGGAAUCUUGCGCAAUGGGCGAAAGCCUGACGCAGCGACGCCGCGUGAGGGAUGACGGCC
rnacentral:rRNA from 1 species